GGGACGAAGGUCUCACGUACAGUGGCGCCAGCAAUGAUAUCAACGCAGGUUCGCAAACUCGUUCGAAGAAUAGCGAAGAUGGCGCCUGAGAUUGGAGGCUUUGGCGGUUUUUUCCCUUCCGUAUGGAUGGUGUUGGAACGAAGCUGAUGCUUGCACUCGAAACUGGCAUUCUUGACACAAUUGGGAUUGAUCUGGUUGCGAUGAGUGUCAACGAUGUUGUUACUUCGGGGACAAAGCCUUUGGGUUUCCUUGAUUACAAUUC